UAUUGUUGGUUAUUCAAUGUUGGCCCAACGUUGGCCCAGCUUUAUAAAUGUUGACAAUAUAAUGAUGCAUUGCUCUGUGUUGGGCGUGCUUGACUGAACUGGAGUUGGUCCAAUAGUAGGAAUACUGGGAUUACUAGUACAUGUACAGGUAGCCUGUAAUGUUUGAGAUGAAAUGCUGGUCCAACGUUGGCCCAAUGUUGCGAAAAGUAUUCAUCAAUUUAGAUUUAUCUAUUGUAAAUCGAUGGUAAUGUAAUAAGCAACUCAUUAUAAACAUGUGAUCUAUAUCAUAUAUUGAAUGGAAAUUAUGAGACAAUCCUUAUAAGUCUGUGAAAUACAUAUAGUAAUUAUAUCUUGGUAGAUUCUAUAUUUAGCAUCAUUGAAUCAAAUUUAAAGUGCUGUGUUUUGCAAGUUUUGGGCUCCAAAAUAAAUAGGUCACUGGUGAAAUUCACUUGCUCGGCAGGUGACUCAUAGGUCUCCAAGGAAACCGUCAUCUUUAACCGCGCACUUUAACAAUUCAAAGCGUAUGUGUCUGUUUAAGUGAAAGCAAGAAUUUUAAUCCUUUCAAUGAAUUGGCGGGCUUGAACAGAGCAGAUAUGUCCGGAUCUGUAAAUGAACGCAAGAAUGUUAACCAGUGAAAUGAAUUGCCGGGAUGGAAAAA